ACAGAUGGCCUGGAUCAGUGCAAUGUGCAACAAGAGGACUAUAUCGUCUCAGUAAAAACCUUGAAGAGAUGAACCCAUUUCAGAGACCCAGCAAGGGAUCACCUGCAUAUACAGGCAUCAGCAGAAACAGGAAUUUGGGAUUUAUCCUGGAGGUAGUGGAAGCUUUUGGAGGUCUUAACCAGGACAGCACAUGUGGCUUUCCUGCAAUGGGAUCGUCCUUCAAGAGGACCUCACAGGCUCUCCACCCGGACUGUGACAGAAAGAAUCUCAGUCAUCUGGACUGCUUUGUGCUAUAUGAAAAUCUCUGAGAACCUUCAAGAGCCCAAAAACAGUUCUCCUCCAUGCUGUAUGCCAUGGUCAGUGGUUAAAGAGAACAUUUUGUUCCACUCCUCCAGCUCUGCCUUAGAAACCCAAGCCCUGCACUCCAAGGCUCCUGGCAUCGUACACCAGCACCAGCAAUUUUCUGCCAAAAGCAUCAGCCAAAAUCUAUUCUAUCUAUUUCAGUUCCUCUCUUUUCAUCGGAUUGUAUUUUUACAGGUGAUUGCUGAUUCUCACACUGCUCUUCAGAUUCAUGUACAGCUGUGGUCUGAAUGUGUGUGUUUUCUCAAAAUUCAAGUUUAAAACUUAAUCCUCAAUGUGAUAGUAUCAACAGCUGCGGCCUUUUGGAAAGUGAAGGUGGAGCCCUCGUGAGUGGGAUUAGAGCUCUUAUAAAAGAGAUUGAAGGGAGCUACCUAGCCCUUCCAUCUCUUCUGCCUUGUGAGGACACAGUGUUCAUCCCUUUUGUCUUCCCACCAUUUGAAGAUGCAGAAAGAAGGUGCCAUCUUGGAAGCAAAGAGCAGCCCUCACCAGACACCAAGUCUGCUGGCACCUUGAUCUUGGACUUCCCAGCCUCCAGGACUGUGAGAAAUGAAUUUCUGUUGUUUAUAAAUUACCUAGUCUAAGGUAUGCUGUUACAGUAGCAGGAAUGGACUAAGACACACAUUGUCAAAAUCUUCAUGAGUUAAAGGUGAAGGUACAAUCAGAACUGGUGCAUGGAAUUGGAACCAUAGGUCUUAGUAAACACUGUAAAAAUGCACUAUUCAAAUCUACAGAAAAUGCUCUCUCUUCAAGUUCAGAAAGAAGCUACAAUCUGCUUUUCCUUUUUUUCUGAAGGGAAGUAAAAUUCUAUGUUUCUGGACUAAGAGGUCUACACCCCAGUCUUUCUCUUUCUGACAUGUAUAGUAAUCUUUGGCAAAUUACUCAAGCUUUCUUUGUUCUGGUGAAAAUAAAGUGCACAGGACAGUAUUACUAAGAGGCCUGAGCAACAUUAGAGGUUGAUAACGAUGGUUCCAAAGGCCUUUAAGAAGGUGUAAUGCUAUGUGGAUGUUUUUAUUGAAACCUUCCCUGGGUUUUCAGAAUUCUCUUUGGAAUUAGUCCUGUGGGAAUAUGCCUUUUGGGAUCUAUUCUCACCUCUUAUUCAGUCCCCCUUUUCUUGCAUUACAAUCUACAAUUUGAAGUUAUUCUGUCAUUUAAAAAUUAGGUCCAUGACCUCAUCAUCACCGGGUUUUCCUCUCCAGGCCAUUUCCAGUAGAAUGUUGGUCAUAUUCUCAUGUGAGAGAACAAAUCAGUUAUUCAUUACAUCUGAUCAAUGAGCUAGUACUACACCAUAAGGAAGUGUAGUAAAACCAGAAACUGGGAAACACCCGAAAAAAUUUGCUUUGUCCUGUGUUUUAAUUUGGGGUAUGAUAAAGUGCCACAGGACAUUAAUCCAGGGACUGAGAUAGACUCUUAAGUUUGGCAAUCAGUGAAAGAACUUGCUGAAUCUCUCUAGAAUUAACCUAAAGGAGCCAGCCUCUUUUCUCAUGAGAACAAUUUAUUUUAGGGUUAGUGGUGAAUUAAUUCUACAGUGUUUAAUUCCACAUAUAAACUUCAUUUUCUAUAUAAAUGUUUUGUUGUAACAUAUUCAAUUACUUCCUUUUGUUGUUUUUCUGCAACAUUCCCUUUUUCACCUUUUCUAACCUCUUAAACCAAAUAAAAAACUCACUUAUCUUCUUGCUGUUGUAAUAUUUGCUUUCCUUUCUUGUUUAUACUCUGUAAUGAUGUUUACCCGAUCUGUCCACAUCACCUGGAUUCCAGGUGUACCAUUC
rnacentral:lncRNA from 1 species